rnacentral:rRNA from 1 species
UGCAGUCGAACGGUAACAGGAAGCAGCUUGCUGCUUUGCUGACGAGUGGCGGACGGGUGAGUAAUGUCUGGGAAACUGCCUGAUGGAGGGGGAUAACUACUGGAAACGGUAGCUAAUACCGCAUAACGUCGCAAGACCAAAGAGGGGGACCUUCGGGCCUCUUGCCAUCAGAUGUGCCCAGAUGGGAUUAGCUAGUAGGUGGGGUAACGGCUCACCUAGGCGACGAUCCCUAGCUGGUCUGAGAGGAUGACCAGCCACACUGGAACUGAGACACGGUCCAGACUCCUACGGGAGGCAGCAGUGGGGAAUAUUGCACAAUGGGCGCAAGCCUGAUGCAGCCAUGCCGCGUGUAUGAAGAAGGCCUUCGGGUUGUAAAGUACUUUCAGCGGGGAGGAAGGCGAUGUGGUUAAUAACCGCGUCGAUUGACGUUACCCGCAGAAGAAGCACCGGCUAACUCCGUGCCAGCAGCCGCGGUAAUACGGAGGGUGCAAGCGUUAAUCGGAAUUACUGGGCGUAAAGCGCACGCAGGCGGUCUGUCAAGUCGGAUGUGAAAUCCCCGGGCUCAACCUGGGAACUGCAUCCGAAACUGGCAGGCUUGAGUCUCGUAGAGGGGGGUAGAAUUCCAGGUGUAGCGGUGAAAUGCGUAGAGAUCUGGAGGAAUACCGGUGGCGAAGGCGGCCCCCUGGACGAAGACUGACGCUCAGGUGCGAAAGCGUGGGGAGCAAACAGGAUUAGAUACCCUGGUAGUCCACGCCGUAAACGAUGUCGACUUGGAGGUUGUGCCCUUGAGGCGUGGCUUCCGGAGCUAACGCGUUAAGUCGACCGCCUGGGGAGUACGGCCGCAAGGUUAAAACUCAAAUGAAUUGACGGGGGCCCGCACAAGCGGUGGAGCAUGUGGUUUAAUUCGAUGCAACGCGAAGAACCUUACCUGGUCUUGACAUCCACAGAACUUUCCAGAGAUGGAUUGGUGCCUUCGGGAACUGUGAGACAGGUGCUGCAUGGCUGUCGUCAGCUCGUGUUGUGAAAUGUUGGGUUAAGUCCCGCAACGAGCGCAACCCUUAUCCUUUGUUGCCAGCGGUUAGGCCGGGAACUCAAAGGAGACUGCCAGUGAUAACUGGAGGAAGGGGGGGAUGACGUCAGUCAUCAUGGCCCUUACAACCGGGCUACCACGUGCUACAU